CCCAAAUCAAGUUUGUCUGGAAAAGCUAUACCAGAUAAAAUGUGGAAAAAGUUCUCUAACAAACGGGCUGAAAUUUUAUUUCACAGUUGAGAAUGUCAACAUAAAACAGACUGGAAAAGUAAUAGGGUGAAGAAAUGAAAUGAAGAAUGAUCUGCGGCUGUCCUUUCUUGUGGUAGGGAAGAGGAUGAAAGAGCAGGAAAACAACAUAUGUGAAAUCCUGUUUAACUAGUCUGCUGUCCUCUACUUUUGCCUGACUUCCAAUAAUCUCCAUAAAGUUUGUGCAAGUAUUUUGUAGAACUUCACGAUAAGACAAGUCUUGGACUAUAGUCCAUUUCCACGGACUAUUUAACAACUUGUGGAUUUUAGAUGCAUUUGUGGUUUUAUCUGCUUUUCUCUUGUUUUAGUGAAUGACCACUUGAAGUCUGCUUUUCCUUUGUGUAUAUCUGAUUUGCUUAUUUCUCAGUUCU
rnacentral:lncRNA from 1 species